AUUGAACGCUGGCGGCAGGCUUAACACAUGCAAGUCGGGCGGGGUGAUGGUGCUUGCACUAUCACUUAGCGGCGGACGGGUGAGUAAUGCUUAGGAAUCUGCCUAUUAGUGGGGGACAACAUCUCGAAAGGGAUGCUAAUACCGCAUACGUACUACGGGAGAAAGCAGGGGAUCACUUGUGACCUUGCGCUAAUAGAUGAGCCUAAGUCGGAUUAGCUAGUUGGUGGGGGAAAGGCCUACCAAGGCGACGAUCUGUAGCGGGUCUGAGAGGAUGAUCCGCCACACUGGGACUGAGGCACGGCCCAGAUUCCUACGGGAGGCAGCAGUGGGGAAUAUUGGACAAUGGGGGGAACCCUGAUCCAGCCAUGCCGCGUGUGUGAAGAAGGCCUUAUGGUUGUAAAGCACUUUAAGCGAGGAGGAGGCUCUUUUGGUUAAUACCCAAGAUGAGUGGACGUUACUCGCAGAAUAAGCACCGGCUAACUCUGUGCCAGCAGCCGCAGUAA
rnacentral:rRNA from 1 species